ACAUACGACCAUAGACUCGAGAAAACUGGGCAUCCCGUCCGCUCUGCCAUACAUAAGCUUGAGAUCGGCACAUUAGUAGUUGGGUGGGUGACCACCAGCGAAUCCCUGCUGUUGUAUGUU
rfam:Lasallia pustulata genome assembly, contig: scaffold595_size95855